GUUAUAUUUUUGUAGCUGGACUUGUAGAACGGGUUGUUCUUCUUGGAGCACCAGUUUCAAUUAAAGAUGAAAAUUGGGAGGAGGCUAGAAAGAUGGUUGCUGGCAGAUUUGUGAAUGCUUAUUCCACAAUUGACUGGACACUUGGCAUUAUUUUCCGUGCAAGUUUACUUUCUCAAGGAUUAGCUAGUAUUCAACCUGUUGAUGUACCUGGGAUUGAGAAUGUUGAUGUAACAGAAAUCAUAGAAGGCCACUAUUCAUAUCUUUGGGCCACAAAACACAUCCUAGAGCAGCUUGAACUAGAUUAUUACUAGCCCUAUUUCAGAAGCACAUUUUCCAAACCCCAGGAAGAAAAAGCUCUUUAAUUUAGUAAUUAGCUUCAAAGGUAUCUAGGCCAAUUAUCUCAGAUAUAUUAAUUGAUGCCUUAAUUUGCACUUAUUUGAGGUUGCAGAAAAGAAGUG